CCGAAAUUCAGAAACCCGAGGACGAGCCACUGAAGAGGAAAUGUCGCAUGGCCGGCGGUGAGGAUGGUGGAAAAAACAAGCGUGGGGGUCAUCGAGACAAUGGCCAACGUGAGCAGCGCCGGAAAACUCAAAUCGGAAUCGACCCAUCGAAUCAUGAACAACCCGAGGAGCGCGGUCAUCAGAGACUGUAAGAAUCGCUUGAUAAAGGAAAAGAUGAAAAUCAACGGAAGAAGAAACGGCGGAAUCCAUGUCUUCGCCUGAUCCAGAAGCUUCGUCGCUUCCGGAGGCCCGAAGGACAUAUCCUUCACGCGGGAAAAAUCAUAGGUGCGCGUUUCCGCCACGGAACGGCGAACCAUCACCUGACGAUCGGUCACCAACACGAUGGCCUGCGCUUCUUCCAGCGUUUUGUAUUUCCCGGUG
rnacentral:misc_RNA from 1 species